rnacentral:rRNA from 1 species
AGCGAACGCUGGCGGCAGGCCUAACACAUGCAAGUCGAACGAACUCUUCGGAGUUAGUGGCGGACGGGUGAGUAACACGUGGGAACGUGCCUUUAGGUUCGGAAUAACUCAGGGAAACUUGUGCCAAUACCGAAUGUGCCCUUCGGGGGAAAGAUUUAUCGCCUUUAGAGCGGCCCGCGUCUGAUUAGCUAGUUGGUGAGGUAAAGGCUCACCAAGGCGACGAUCAGUAGCUGGUCUGAGAGGAUGAUCAGCCACAUUGGGACUGAGACACGGCCCAAACUCCUACGGGAGGCAGCAGUGGGGAAUCUUGCGCAAUGGGCGAAAGCCUGACGCAGCCAUGCCGCGUGAAUGAUGAAGGUCUUAGGAUUGUAAAAUUCUUUCACCGGGGACGAUAAUGACGGUACCCGGAGAAGAAGCCCCGGCUAACUUCGUG